UCCAGCGCCUCAUGCCCUAUUCCAUCUAGCUCCUAGUCUCGAAGUCGACUGGUCUUGCGUGCUCCUCCUCUGUUGUGUUUGACCGACGUUGUUUCCUGCUUUCCUCUUCUUCCCAUCGAUUCAAGCUCUCUUUGUUUUUUUUUCAGCUUUUAUAGCUCCCAAAACUGCUGCUUGUGCUAGUGUGCUUCGCCGCCAUUGCCUCUUGUGUUAAGCUGAGUUUUUGGAGCUACCAAUAUGUGACUUAAGCUUAUCGCAAAUUCGAUAAGCAACUUUAGUUUUAUUACAGCUUAGCUUCUAAUUCUGAAGCAGGAUUUUCUUAAUUUUCUGCUGGUUUUUCUUGUUGGUCUCAUUUUCAGGGGAAUUGAAGUAUCAUAUUCCAAUGAAGAUGUUUCUGUUUAUUUGGUGGAGACUCCUGCUUGCAGGCAAACGAGAGAGCAAAUCCAUGAAUUUAUGGAGAAGUAUAAGACAUACAAACUUGCAAAAGCUGAGAUCCUCAAUGUCAUCAACGUUGCACCUCGUGAAUUAGUUGAAAUUGACCCGGUAGUUUUAUUAUUAAUUCAUCUUUCUCUUUCAUUAAUUAAUUCAUUCAUUCCUUCUUUCUUUCUUUGAAUUGUCCUUACAGAAAUCUUGGCUUAGGAGUGACACUUUCUAUGCUAUUUUUCUCAAUUUGUGAAUGUUCUUUUACUUCUCAUUUAUCAGGAUAGCUUUAAUUUAGGUAUUUGCUUUAUGUAAGGUGUGAAGGGACGCAUUGAAAUAAAUUUGUAUCUUAAUCAUUUGGACAGAAAAAGAAUAGAAAUCUGCUGUUAAAUUUGGCUGAGAAAUUUUUAAAUGGUAAAAUCAAUAUGAUAAGAAUUAGUAAA